AUGGAGGAGAGGUGCGCCCUGGCCACGGAGCUGGCGCAGGUGCUCGACACGGUGAGGCAGCUGGAGGCGCACAUGGGCGUGAAGGGCGGCGCUGACGGAGGGGAGACCUGCCGGGCGCUGGUGUCGAGCAUGCGCUCCUCCGUCGACAGGUCCAUCCACAUCGCCAUGUCGUCGUGCUGCGUUGUCCUCGGAGCGCCGGAGUCGCCGCCGUCUGCCGGCGGGAGCCCCCGCAGCGGCGGCUCUGACCAGGCUGCCGACUCCCCUUGCCGCGGCGCUCAUGCAGCUGGGCAGUCCAAGAAGAGGAAAACACAGCCCAAGUGGAGCACACAGGUGAGGGUGAAUUCCGUGGAGGACGUCGGCCCCCUCGACGACGGCUUCAGCUGGAGGAAGUAUGGUCAGAAGGACAUCCUCGGUGCCAAGUACCCAAGGGCCUACUUCCGGUGCACCCACCGCCACACGCAGGGCUGCUACGCCAGCAAGCAGGUGCAACGUGCUCACGGCGACCCGCUGCUCUUCGACGUCGUGUACCAUGGGAACCACACGUGCGUGCAGGGCAAGCACUGCAACAGCCAGACGCCGCAGCCCGCGGCAAGCGGAGAGCACCGGCAGCCGCAGCCUGCCGGCGGACAGGAGCGGGUCUCCGUGGGACAGAAGACCGACGGCGGCGUGGCGGCUCCGUUCUCGUUCCCCUCCAAACAAGCAGGCGCCGACACGGGCAGCGACUUCCAGGCCGGCUGUGCCACCACUGCAUCCCCCUUCAUGUCGCCGGCGACGUCAGAGUGCAAGGCCUCCACGACGGAAUCCCCGAUGGGGGACAUGGACUUCAUGCUCCAGCUGGCCGACGCCGAUUUCUUGGACAACUCGCGCUAUCUCUAA
rnacentral:rRNA from 1 species